CAGUAGCCGCGGUAAUACGUAGGGUGCGAGCGUUAAUCGGAAUUACUGGGCGUAAAGCGUGCGCAGGCGGUUUUGUAAGACAGGCGUGAAAUCCCCGGGCUCGACCUGGGAAUGGCGCUUGUGACUGCAAAGCUAGAGUGCGGCAGAGGGGGAUGGAAUUCCGCGUGUAGCAGUGAAAUGCGUAGAUAUGCGGAGGAACACCGAUGGCGAAGGCAAUCCCCUGGGCCUGCACUGACGCUCAUGCACGAAAGCGUGGGGAGCAAACAGGAUUAGAUACCCGUGUAGUCCCUGUCUCUUAUAC
rnacentral:rRNA from 1 species